GGCGAGCGAAACGGGAAGAGCCCAAACCAACAAGCUUGCUUGUUGGUGUUGUAGGACACUCUAUACGGAGUUACAAAGGACGACAUAAGACGAAUCAUCUGGAAAGAUGAAUCAAAGAAGGUAAUAAUCCUGUAGUCGAAAAUGUUGUAUCUCUUGAGUGGAUCCUGAGUAAGACGGAGCACGAGAAAUUCCGUCGGAAUCUGGGAGGACCAUCUCCUAAGGCUAAAUACUCUCUAG
rnacentral:rRNA from 1 species